rnacentral:rRNA from 1 species
UACAGGGGGGGCAAGCGUGUUCGGAAUUACUGGGCGUAAAGGCCAGUAGGCGGCCAACUAAGUCACACGUGAAAUCCCCAGCUUAACCUGGGAACUGCGUGUGAUACUGGAUGGCUUGAAUUCGGGAGAGGGAUGCAGGAAUUCCAGGUGUAGCGGUGAAAUGCGUAGAUAUCUGGAGGAAUACCGGUGGCGAAGGCGGCAUCCUGGACCGACAUUGACGCUGAACGGCGAAAGCUAGGGGAGCA